AGCUUGGGUGGCAGGUGCAUGUCAGCGCUGAGAGAAAGGGGGUCUUUCGUUGGCCCUUAGAAGGAAGCGUGUCAAAAAUGUCACAAAUAACGACGAACAUAAGGUCAUUCAACUGGCGCCAUCUCCUGGACGGAAUAGCAAACUGCUCUAACAGAUGGGUUGAGUCGGAGGAAAGCUGUGAGCUCUAUUAUCGAUUGCGGGAACAUGAGCCGCCUGUGGGCCACUCUUGGAUUCAUGGCAGGUGGAUAGGUCACCCACACGAGAGCGGCAAUUUCACGGCCCCUAUUGUCUCCACUGAUUACUGCUUUGAUCACAGGAAUCAAGAGCCCGAGACUCUCGUAAACCUACAAUGGAGUCCAGGAGCUCGUGAGCUGAAGAGGUCAUCAUCAUCAUCUGCUACAUCAUCAUCAUAACCGUCAUCAUCAUCGCUAGUUGACCAUACAAACCUGGGGUGCCGUGUGUUUUCACAGCCGCGUUGCCCUUUUAUUGAUUGCGUGCCUUAAUUUUAAUUCGAUUGCGCGAGUGUCAAAAAUUCCGCAAGAAUCAUCCUAGUAAUGAGAUAAUCAAAGUAAUAUAUGCAAAUCAGUUAUGUUGCCAGCUUAUCAAAACCGGAGUGCCCCCCCUUGAGUCUGAAGAAGUCCAUUUAUUCAGUUAGUGGCAAUACCUUGCGCAAAUGGCGCGAUGCAAAUGACAGUUGAUUAGACUAAAUUAAGAACCUCGUUUCUCCCUGACCUUGUCUGAGUUUUAUGUAAAUUCUUUUUUUCUUGCUUUAAUGUGAUAAAAAUGCAUUUUACACCCUGGCCUUUAUAAAUCUGAACAAUAUUUACCAUGAGAGAAACAAUGGCCAGCUUCAAAUAACUCACUGUGUCAGUAGCUUGGAUGACUCUCUCUGACUGUCUGUUGUCUGUAUGUGUGUCUCUCACAAAUCUCAGUAUACCUUGACCCCGGUGCAUCUCCUACAGGGACAGAAAGUGUGCUGCUAUAACUUCCUUGCUGUGGGGGAGUGUGCCUUGAAGAUAGACUAGGUGUGUGUGCCUCUGAGUGUGUCUCUGCAAUCAUGUUUACACGAUUAUGUGUACUCAUGUGUGUACCAUAACAUAUUGUCUUAGGGACACAGAGAGUGCAGUUGAGACUUCCUCUCUGUGGGGUGUGUGGGGCCUGUAGAUGGGAAAGGAAUAAAUCCAAUAUAGAUUGCAGGGCUGCGCUGCCUCCCGCUGGGGACCCUCAGACUUGCAGGCCAGGAUCGAAGUGCUUUUCUCCCCCUAAAUUGGCCUGAGAGGCCGCAGGAGCAGCCAAGCUACACCCCCAACGCUGGGACUGCCUACGACCUAAUGAUGGUGCUGGGGACAGACACACAUAUACAAGUGCAUACACAGAGACACUGAAGCUCACACACAGUCAUUCCCAGAUUGAUAUAACAUCAGUCACACACUUGCAGUCAAACACACACUUGGACAAGAAAACCACACAGAUAUAAACACACCCUCCUCGUUCUCUGAUGUUGAACACACUCAUUCCUUGUCCAAAAACCAUUCACCUCAAGUUUUCCUCUUCACAUCUCAGACCAACCCUCAAAACUACCUAGCUAAACUACGGAUUUAGAGGAGGCAUCCUCACUACCUGUCCACGCAUUCUUGAAUAGUAUAACUGGCACCACACUAAGUGUCUGGACUGAUACACACUCCUGCUCUUUGGUCCCCCCUACAAGGAAAACAACACCAGCACCCCAAUGCCAUUACACUUCCUGCCAAACAUCCAGUCAUUUUGCUUCUGUCCACGGAGCUAAUUCUAUUUGUGAUGAGGUGUCUGAUGUGUUGCUGGGCCGGUCCAGAGACAGUUUGACAGAAUAUCCUAUACCCGGACAUUUGUAGUGGCUCAGUAUGCCUCAUUACCUGCUCACAGGGCAUUUUGUUAGCAUGUCACUACCUAGCUCAUCUGUAGAGGUUAACAGGUUGCAGAGGUGAAUACAAAGAUAUAGAACCAUGCAUACAUGUUAACCCAAAACCAAAUAAUACCUAAAAAAAGAUAAUAAACUGAUAAUCUUCAGGGGAAAGGGGAAUGGGAAAAUGCAGUAUCUACAAACAAAAUGUGUUUAUUUAGCUUUCUUGUCAUUUUAACUAAUUUGUUUAAGAACAUAAACUUCAUUUUGAUUAUUUAUGGUGGCCUAUCUCUGUUUUGCUAGGUGUCUGUCCAUCCACUAUUAAUAUGUAUCCUGAAAUCAAUAUAAUAAAUGAAUCUACAAUUCAAUGCAUUUAAAUAUGUAACUACAAGGUAUCUAAGUUUAAUG